rnacentral:rRNA from 1 species
UACGUAGGUGGCAAGCGUUGUCCGGAUUACUGGGCGUAAAGAGCGCGCAGGCGGUCGUUCAAGUCGCGUGGUGAAAGCCCCCGGCUCAACUGGGGAGGGUCACGCGAUACUGAUCGACUGGAAGGCAGGAGAGGGUAGUGGAAUUCCCGGUGUAGUGGUGAAAUGCGUAGAUAUCGGGAGGAACACCAGUGGCGAAGGCGACUACCUGGCCUGUUCUUGACGCUGAGGCGCGAAAGCUAGGGGAGCAAACGGG